GUGCAUUUUAAUUUAUCAUAAAAAAGUUAAUAACCAUUUAAAAUAAAAAAAUACUUACUUUGACAUUUCAAAAAUAAUUAUUUGAACAGUUAAAUUAUAAAGAGAUACUUAAAAAGAAUAAUCCCAUUAUCACAAAGCUCAUCUCAAUGUCAAGAUGGAGCAAGUGGAAGUGGUUCUAAUCCUAAUCCUCAAAUAUAUUCUGCUGAAAUUGAAAUUAAUUUUGAAAAUCUUUCUAUUGAUCUAGUGAAGAGAAAAAGAAUUUCUGA
rnacentral:lncRNA from 1 species